AUCUUUGUGCAGUGGCAGUAUCAUAACCAAUGACAUUCAUCUGAGGUGUGAUUAUUGAUAAUUCCUAAUUGAAAACUUUUCCCAAAAUAAUUGCCAUUGGCAAUUGAAAUAUACUCGGCACUGGCAAUUUUUGACAGUUUCUACAGAGA
rnacentral:snRNA from 1 species